CGCACCCGCUCGCCGCCUUCCCGACUCGCACCGCGCCACUUCCCGGCGGCUAGAGCGGCCCUAGCGGCGCGCGACUGCUAGGGACGACCGGCCUGGAGCGCCCUCGCCGGGAGCGGAGGCCUCACCGGCCCCGGCCCCGGCCCCGGCCCCGGCCCCUCAGACCUCCGCAGUCCCAGGCGCCUGGCGUGCGUCCACCCAGGAGUCGCAGGGGCCGUUCUCAGUCGACCCGCGGGGAACCGGACUCCUAAAGAAAUGACAGUCCCUUGGCACUGAUUUAAUUGGAGAGGAGCUCAGAUACGGGAGAUUAUAAUUAUGACGCCUGAAAUGUCAAGCUCUUCAAAAGUCUGCCAUUGCCCUCACUCUCACCCUGAACAGCUCUGGGAACCCAAACCAUGCAGUCCCUCAGAGCAAGCCCUGGAUCUCUCAGCCAGGCCUCACCUGGGAAAUCUGAGUGACGUUGACACGCAGGCAGCAGGAAGACUCACAGUGAACUGAGAAGCCUGUGCUGAGCUCAGAAGAGACCAAAGUCUACUUGGAGGCCCCAACACAACUCACCCUAUGCGAGGAAUGUGCUGAGGGUCUCUUAGCUUCUUGCAACCAAGACCAGAUUGAAAGGACCAAACCAGGAUAAUGAGGCCAUAAACCAACCAGGCUCUGGAGCCACAUUGUCUGAGCUCAAAUUCCAUCUCCAUAAUUGCCAGCUACUGGGCCUCCAUCACAUUCCUCCCUAAGACUCAGUUUUCUUGCUGGUAAAAAGGGAUGAUAACAGAAACUGCCUCAGUGGAUUGUCUUAUAGACAAAAGGAAGAAACGUAUGUAAAGGGGUCAAGCCUGGUGCCUGGCAUAUGGAAGUCUCCAUUAGUGGAAGCUGCCGCUAUCAUGGCCGCUGCUGUGAUUGUUUUUGCUAUGGUGUCUUGGCCCCUAUCCUGACAUCAUGCCUAUGGCAGUCAGGCUCCUCAUGGAGGUGGUGCCCUGGGGUCUCAACAGGAACCCUCUAUCCAAUAUGAAUAUACCACUCACCAGGCUGUUGAGCAAGAUGGACUCCACCACUGAGUAGUUCAGCCCUUUGUGUUGCCUGCCCCUGCCCUUGCCUAGGAAUCAGGUGCCUAUCCCUCGGGCUUGGACCUUACCCAGCCUUGACCACCCCACUCUUCUGCCCUUCUGCAUCCUGGGUGGCUGUUUGGGCCGUCCCGUGGAGGACUUCACCGGAGGGUCCCAGGUGCUAACUUGAGAUCUGUAGCCAGCAGGUUGCCCACCUCACCUACCAGCUGGACAUGUAUUACAAACUGCUGAUUCAUGAAGGCUCAUGUGGCCUUGGUUGUUUGUACAUUCUCUCAUCUCCAGCUGUCGGCCAAAACAUAAUUGUAGCUGUCACUUUGGCAGUGAGAUGCUGCGAUGUGUCCUAAUACAACUGCCUCUGCUCCACAGCAGUGAGCUUUUAGGAGGUGGGAGGAAUCUGCAGCUGCUCCUGUGGAGAGAGCUGUUCUGAAAAGUGGUCUGUGUGAUGUUCACCCAGGUGCAGCCAUGAAGGUAGUGUGAGCACCAGAGUAAGGCCCUGCAUUUAAACAGGCACUGGCGUGCUUUCAUCUGCAGCUAUAGUAAUGCAAUUCUGAUGACAUCAAUUAAUAAGAGAGACACUGCCAUUGAAAUGAGGCAUUUUGAGCAUCUGUAAGAGCUUGGAAAACACUGUUAGAUGUAUAUGCAAAUUGGACUCCAGUGUUCAUGGGAUGAAUGAAUGGUUAAAACACUGAGGUCCAGGGGUGCCUGGGUGGCUUAGUCAGUUAAGCGUCCGACUUCGGCUCAGGUCAUGAUCUCACGGUUCGUGGGUUCCAGCCCCGCGUCGGGCUCUGUGCUGACAGCUUAGAGCCUGGAGCUUGCUUCAGAUUCUGUGUCUCCCUCUCUCUCUGCCCCUCCCUGGCUCACACUCUGUCUCUCUCUCUCUCUCUCUCAAAAAUAAAUAAACAUUAAAAAACAAAAACAAAAAACACUGAGGUCCAUGGUUUAGGGAGAUGAUGCCAGAGAUAUAGCUGGGGCCAGAUUGGAAAGCAAGGGACCUGAAGGCCAGGCCAUGGAGGUUGGACUUUAUCAAGCAGGCAAAAGGGAGCCACUGAAGGACUUAAGGCAGAGAGUGAUGUAGUCAGACGACAGUGGGAGUCUGGGCUCAAACACCCCUAAGUAGUAGCAAUAAGGGUAAGACUCUCCCUCUGUAUAACGUAGGUAUGCUUGGGAAAGUUUCUGGAGUACCUGGAGCACUGGCUCCUGGAUUCAGGGGUGGCUGUGACUUCAUGCUUAGUGGGUAAGUGUCGGAAAGGCCAGCCCUAGUCAGGCCAGUUAAGUGUGCAGUCAGUAAGGGGACAUACAGGGCUCAUGCCAUGUCCUUUUUCCUCAGUCCUUCCAGGCCAGAGUUCAUUAAGGAAGCGCUUGUGUGCUGAUGUGCUAAAUUCAAGAGACUGCAGACACUUAUGCCAAAGGUCAGGGGAGCCUCCUGGGGCUGAGAGAUGGUUCCACUGCCUGUGGGUAUUGUCUCCCCUAUCGUACAUACACACUUAGAAAACAGCAGAUAUAUAUCCAAGUUUGGUUGAUGGAGCCCUUCCUAGAAGAAAGGUUUUAUUCUCUUGUGCUUAAAUAAAUACCAGUUUAAAGGAUGGUUUCAUGAAGACAGAAAAAUAUGAAGCAUUGGGACCAUGACCAAUGGGUGAGCCACCCACGAUGAUGGAAGCCAGAGCAUAUCUGGACCAUCGUGUAAAUCAAGAGGAAAACAGGAUUCAGGGGACAGAAAUUUUGUGUCCCCUUCUCAGAAGGGGAUUGUUUUGCAAGCAGGGGUUUGGCAGUGAUUCUCGCCUUUCAGCUGUAAGCUGGCGAGGGCAAGAUGCCUCUCAGGUUGUCAGGGGAGGAAAGGCAGGAGGAAGAAAUUCCAUUCUGGCAUGAUCUUCCAUCCUUGUUCCCUGAACUGUGCUACCAGGGGGGCAGGAGGGAGGAGAAGUGGCAGGUGUGGAACAGUGAGGAAGUCUCCUUACCUGAGCAGCUCCUGACACAGGUGGCUAUGGUGGUGGGUGCCUGGAACCCGUUUGCCUAUGGGCGGAGCCUGAACCUUAUCCUCUUCCCUGAUGGCAGGCAGCGCAUCAUAACCACCUCUGGCUACCCUUGGCUGGCUUGUAGCAAUAUGCCCAGAUGUAGUUUUACCCUAUUUCGUUUGCUUUUUCUUCUUUUUAAAUCUAUUUUGAGAGAGAGGGAGAGCAGAGGAGGGGCAGAGAGAAAGGGAGAGAAAGAAUCCCAAGCAGGCUCCGUGAUGUCAGUCUGACGUGGGGCUCAAUCUCAUGAACUGUGAGCUCAUGACCUGAGGCAAGAUCCAGAGUCAGAUGCUUAACCGACUGAGCCACCUAGGCACCCUUCCAGUGAAAUUCUUUUAAUGUGGGACUGGAACUCAGGACCUUAAGACCAAGAGUCACAUGUUCUAACCACCUGAGCCAGCCAGGCACUCCUUCACAAUAAAUUUUUAAAAAGUAUGCAGUAAUGCCUCUCCUCAAAUAUAAAAUGAAUGUGUGUUGAAGAUUUAACUUAAUUCAUCAGUUAAUAAGAGAAGCACUCAAAUAUCACAACUAAUCCAAACAUUUAUUUAUUAUUUUUGAGAGAGAGCACAAGCAGGAGACGGGCAGGGAGAGAGGA